rnacentral:misc_RNA from 1 species
AACGCACCUUGCGCCCUUUGGUAUUCCGAAGGGCAUGCCUGUUUGAGUGUCAUUAAAUCAUCAACCACACCUGCCUUUUGUGUUGUGUGUCGGCUUGGUUUUGAGGGUUUUUGCGGGCUCCUUAGCAGAGCCGGCUCCCUUUAAAUGUAUUAGCGAGGACUCCGUCCGCUGACCGUCUCUGGCGUGAUAAUUAUCUAGUCAAAGGCGAGAAUGUGAUGGCUUGCUUCUAAUCGUCUCGAGAGAGACCGCGGAGUGACUUUAACCGGUCAGCUUCAUCUUGACUUUGACCUCAAAUCAGGUAGGACUACCCGCUGAACUUAA